GAGUAAAAGUCGUAACAAGGUCUCCGUUGGUGAACCAGCGGAGGGAUCAUUACCGAGUUUUCCAACUCCCAAACCCUUCUGUGAACCUAUACCGACACGUUGCUUCGGCGGGAUCGCCCCGGCGCCCUCAGCGGCGGCCGGGCCCAGGCGCCCGCCGGAGGACCACACCAAACUCUUCAGAUUUUCUUCAGGCGUCUACUGAGUGACACAAAAAAAAUGAAUCAAAACUUUCAACAACGGAUCUCUUGGUUCUG
rnacentral:misc_RNA from 1 species